rnacentral:rRNA from 1 species
UACGUAGGCAGCAAGCGUUGUUCGGAGUUACUGGGCGUAAAGGGUGUGUAGGCGGUCUUCUAAGUCUGGUGUGAAAUCUCCCGGCUCAACUGGGAGGGUGCGCCGAAAACUGGAAGGCUAGAGUGCGGGAUGGGAGAGUGGAAUUCCUGGUGUAGCGGUGAAAUGCGCAGAUAUCAGGAAGAACACCCGUGGCGAAAGCGGCUCUCUGGAACGGUACUGACGCUGAGACGCGAAAGCGUGGGGAGCGAACAGG